UUGGUUAAGUUAGAAAGGGCGCACGGUGGAUGCCUUGGCACUAGGAGCCGAAGAAGGACGGGACUAACACCGAUAUGCUUUGGGGAGCUGUACGUAAGCGUUGAUCCAGAGAUUUCCGAAUGGGGGAACCCACUAUCUUUAGUCGGAUAGUAUCCUUACGUGAAUACAUAGCGUGAGGAAGGCAGACCCAGGGAACUGAAACAUCUAAGUACCUGGAGGAAGAGAAAGAAAAAUCGAUUUCCUGAGUAGCGGCGAGCGAAACGGAAAGAGCCCAAACCAAGAAGCUUGCUUCUUGGGGUUGUAGGACACUCUAUACGGAGUUACAAAAGAAAGUUAUAAAUGAAGCGGUCUGGAAAGGCCCGCCAAAGACGGUAACAGCCCGGUAGUUGAAAUGGCUUUCCCUCCAGAGUGGAUCCUGAGUACGGCGGAACACGUGAAAUUCCGUCGGAAUCCGGGAGGACCAUCUCCCAAGGCUAAAUACUCCCUAGUGACCGAUAGUGAACCAGUACCGUGAGGGAAAGGUGAAAAGCACCCCGGAAGGGGAGUGAAACAGUUCCUGAAACCGUGUGCCUACAAGUAGUUAGAGCCCGUUAAUGGGUGAUAGCGUGCCUUUUGUAGAAUGAACCGGCGAGUUACGAUUUGUUGCAAGGUUAAGCGGAAAAAGCGGAGCCGUAGCGAAAGCGAGUCUGAAUAGGGCGCAUAAGUAACAGGUCGUAGACCCGAAACCAGGUGAUCUACCCAUGUCCAGGAUGAAGGUAAGGUAAUACUUACUGGAGGUCCGAACCCACGCACGUUGAAAAGUGCGGGGAUGAGGUGUGGGUAGCGGAGAAAUUCCAAUCGAACUUGGAGAUAGCUGGUUCUCUCCGAAAUAGCUUUAGGGCUAGCCUCGAGGUAAAGAGUCAUGGAGGUAGAGCACUGUUUGGACUAGGGGCCCUUCUCGGGUUACCGAAUUCAGAUAAACUCCGAAUGCCAUGUACUUAUACUCGGGAGUCAGACUGCGAGUGAUAAGAUCCGUAGUCGAAAGGGAAACAGCCCAGACCACCAGUUAAGGUCCCCAAAUAUAUGUUAAGUGGAAAAGGAUGUGGGGUUGCUUAGACAACCAGGAUGUUGGCUUAGAAGCAGCCACCAUUGAAAGAGUGCGUAAUAGCUCACUGGUCGAGUGACCCCGCGCCGAAAAUGUACCGGGGCUAAACAUAUUACCGAAACUGUGGAUGAACCUCUUUAGAGGUUCGUGGUAGGAGAGCGUUCUAAGGGCGGUGAAGUCAGACCGGAAGGACUGGUGGAGCGCUUAGAAGUGAGAAUGCCGGUAUGAGUAGCGAAAGAAGGGUGAGAAUCCCUUCCACCGAAUAUCUAAGGUUUCCUGAGGAAGGCUCGUCCGCUCAGGGUUAGUCGGGACCUAAGCCGAGGCCGAUAGGCGUAGGCGAUGGACAACAGGUAGAGAUUCCUGUACCAGUGCUAAUUGUUUAACCGAUGGGGUGACACAGAAGGAUAGGGAAUCGCACGAAUGGAAAUGUGCGUCCAAGCAGUGAGUGUGAGAAGUAGGCAAAUCCGCUUCUCGCGAAGCAUGAGCUGUGAUGGGGAAGGAAAUUAAGUACGGAAGUUCCUGAUUUCACGCUGUCAAGAAAAGCCUCUAGGAAGAGUAGUACUGCCCGUACCGCAAACCGACACAGGUAGAUGAGGAGAGAAUCCUAAGGUGAGCGAGAGAACUCUCGUUAAGGAACUCGGCAAAAUGACCCCGUAACUUCGGGAGAAGGGGUGCUCUAUUAGGGUGCAAGCCCGAGAGAGCCGCAGUGAAUAGGCCCAGGCGACUGUUUAGCAAAAACACAGGUCUCUGCAAAACCGUAAGGUGACGUAUAGGGGCUGACGCCUGCCCGGUGCUGGAAGGUUAAGAGGAGUGCUUAGCUUCGGCGAAGGUACGAAUUGAAGCCCCAGUAAACGGCGGCCGUAACUAUAACGGUCCUAAGGUAGCGAAAUUCCUUGUCGGGUAAGUUCCGACCCGCACGAAAGGCGCAACGAUCUGGGCACUGUCUCAACGAGAGACUCGGUGAAAUUAUAGUACCUGUGAAGAUGCAGGUUACCCGCGACAGGACGGAAAGACCCCGUGGAGCUUUACUGCAACCUGAUAUGGAAUGUUUGUACCGCUUGUACAGGAUAGG
rnacentral:rRNA from 1 species